GUUUCGUGUUGGCCUAAUUUUGUAUAUUAAUAGCAUUGACAGACGGCAGCGUUAAACCGAAUUAAUUGCAUUUUUCGGGAUUAAUUCAGGAGUUACCACAGCUAACUCCGUUGCUGAAUCCAAACAUAACUCUUCAAAAUUUUAGGGAGUUUGUGAGAUUUUCGUUGGCAACAUUGUUAAUAAUUGACAGCUGUAUUCUAUUGUUAAUGAAAAAUAAGAACAGUGAGCAGCGGUUCUACGUUUAAAUGUAAAGAAAGUUAUUUUGAAAAGCGAUGAUUAAAGAUAAAAAAUUAAAUGGCUGGCAGAAAAAAGCGUUCUGGGUGGACUUUAAAGGAUGAGUUGGAGCUGCUGGAAAAAUGGGAGGCACGUUCCCACGACGGCACGAUUACGGUUUUUCCGGCGCCGCGAUUUGAUGGUACUAAUGGAUAGAGGAGGUCCUCAGGAUUAAAAAAUGUAUACACAUAUACCGUCCUCAGACGCAUAGUUUCCGAGAUAUUUCACUUUAAAGUUCCACAAUUUUACAUGCAAUUUAGUCCUAUUUUGUUUUGUUUUGUUUUUCUUCACAUGUCAUUACAAGUACCAGUGUUGCCACAUAUUAUGUUUUAAAAAAACUAUGAAAAAUUUUUCUUUUUAACAUUUAUAAAGAAAAUGAUACAAACGGUUUUUGUAUAUUAUGUUAAUUGAUAAAUAAAGAUAAAAAAUAACAUUCCUUU